rnacentral:tRNA from 2 species
UCCUCAUCAGUAUAGUGGUGAGUAUCCCCGCCUGUCACGCGGGAGACUGGGGUUCGAUUCCCUGAGGAGGAG